AUGGCUCAGGAUGAACGCUAGCUACAGGCUUAACACAUGCAAGUCGAGGGGCAGCAUUGGAGUAGCAAUACUCAGAUGGCGACCGGCGCACGGGUGAGUAACACGUAUCCAACCUGCCGCUUACUCGGGGAUAGCCUUUCGAAAGAAAGAUUAAUACCCGAUGGUAUAAAGAGUUCGCAUGUUCUCUUUAUUAAAGAAUUUCGGUAAGCGAUGGGGAUGCGUUCCAUUAGAUAGUUGGCGGGGUAACGGCCCACCAAGUCUACGAUGGAUAGGGGUUCUGAGAGGAAGGUCCCCCCACAUUGGAACUGAGACACGGUCCAAACUCCUACGGGAGGCAGCAGUGAGGAAUAUUGGUCAAUGGACGCGAGUCUGAACCAGCCAAGUAGCGUAGAAGGAAGAAGGAUCUAUGGUUCGUAAACUUCUUUUGCAGGGGAAUAAAGUGCAGGACGUGUCCUGUUUUGUAUGUACCCUGAGAAUAAGGAUCGGCUAACUCCGUGCCAGCAGCCGC
rnacentral:rRNA from 1 species